CAGCAGCCGCGGGAAAACGUAGGGUGCGAGCGUUAAUCGGAAUUACUGGGCGUAAAGCGUGCGCAGGCGGUUCGUUAAGACAGAUGUGAAAUCCCCGGGCUAAACCUGGGAACUGCAUUUGUGACUGGCAAGCUAGAGUAUGGCAGAGGGGGGUGGAAUUCCGCGUGUAGUAGUGAAAUGCGUAGAUAUGCGGAGGAACACCGAUGGCGAAGGCAGCCCCCUGGGCCAAUACUGACGCUCAUGCACGAAAGCGUGGGGAGCAAACAGGAUUAGAUACCCCUGUAGUCCCUGUCUCUUAUAC
rnacentral:rRNA from 1 species